CUUCUCUCGCUUCGGCAGUACAUAUUCUAAAAUUGGAUCGAUGCAGAGAAGAUUAGCAUGGCCUUGCACAAGGAUGACACACAAAAUCGUAAGCGUGCGUUACACAUUUUU